rnacentral:tRNA from 1 species
GGGGCAAUGGCGCAGUUGGGAGCGCGUUAGACUGAAGCGCACUUCAGUGGUUCUGUUAUCUAAAGGUCACCGGUUCAAUCCCGGUUUGCCCCA